rnacentral:misc_RNA from 1 species
GAUGAAGAACGCAGCGAAAUGCGAUAAGUAAUGUGAAUUGCAGAAUUCAGUGAAUCAUCGAAUCUUUGAACGCACCUUGCGCUCCUUGGUAUUCCGAGGAGCAUGCCUGUUUGAGUGUCAUGUUUUUCUCAGCUCCCUUGGACUUUUGGUCUGAGGUGAAGUCUGGAGUUGGGGGUUGCAGGUCUUGCAAAACAAGUCUGCUCCUCUGAAAUGCAUUAGCAUAAACUGUACUGAGAUGCUUAUUCAGUGUAAUAAUUUUCUGCACUGUUUGGGCUUUGGUAUAACACUGUUUAUGCUUACAGACAUCUCUCUAUUGAGAUAAGUUUCAUUUAAACUUUGUCCUCAAAUCAGGUAGGACUACCCGCUGAACUUAAGCAUAUCAAUAAGCGGAGGA